UCAGUUACAAUCUAGCAUCUGGGGCAAACUCACGAGUAUUUGAUUACUCAAAUAAUAAAUGCCUCGGGAAGGUCUGAGAUGUGGCCAAACAGUUCUAAACCUGAUGUCUAGUUGAGACAUUCGAACUGUAAUUUUCCAGCAGGACAACUUUUAUAAUUAAAUGGCAAAAGGACAAGAAAUUCUGCAAUUUCCAUUUUGUGUGGAAAUGCAUUGAAAUCUUUUGUGGCCAGCUAUUUUAGUGCAAUGUGCUUGCUGUCCUUUCUCAAACAAAUAAAAGGGAAAUGGGCAGAACUCAAUUCAGACUAAUCUGUGACUGA
rnacentral:RNase_P_RNA from 2 species